CCUUCCGAUCUCUGUCGUUCGAUCUAAGAACCCUUCGGGUAAAAGUUUAACCAACUCCGAAGAAGAAUAGUCAGAGGGCAAAGCCAUGACACCCUUCGGUUGAGGUUUACGCAGAGACCACACAAAGCGGGCCCCACUAUUCUCAAUAGCAUGUGCUAUCUCGUUAACUUGAUCUUCUUCGAAAGAACCUCUAGUCCCAAAACAAAUGAAAACUACCGAAAAAGGAGGUUGAUCAUCAAGCCACUUGAUGAUAUCAUCUGAAUCAACAGUAUCAUUGGUUUUGAGUUCAGGGUUUAAUAUGGGUCCCACCGGAUAUAUAGUUGGUAAAGUAGCUAGAUCAGGAUGAGUAAAAAAUGAGUGAACCGCGUAGGAUUCAAGCUCUUCGAAUGAAUUUACAAUAAUACCAUCAGCGUUCUUGAGACCUCUUACAUAGUUCAUGAAAAACGGUUCCCAUUUCUUGCUAAGUACAGUACCUGGAAACGAGUAUAACGGAACAGAGUUUUUGAAACUCGGAAUCUCCAACUCAGUUAGUUGUUGCAACUGAGUCACGUCGACGUUGUCUCGUUCACGGAGAGUGUGAAGAUGAAGAUUCAAACCAAGUGAAGCAACGCCGGAAGUGAAGAAAACAAGCGUAGGAACGGAAAAUUCUUUGGCAAUAUCAAUCAUAUUGGUGCAGAACAUGUCAACAACGAAGGCUGCAAGGACUCCGUUUUCUCCUCUUUCGGUAGUGAGGUUAGAGACGGCUUGUUUGACGUUUGGUUUUUGAGCUUCUAUGAGAGCGUUCAUGGCGGAAAUUGGAGCGGUGUUUGGAGGAAGAGAACAUUCUGGAAGGUCGAUGACGUUGAUUGAAUCGGUGAUUGGCAGGGAUUUGGUGUAAUCGGUUUCUGAGGCAUGUGGGAGUUUCAUAAGAAGGAUUGUUAUUCGGAGACGGGUGUCACGGUUGAUUAGAAGAUUCGCGAACUCGAGAGUGGAAACUAUAUGACUCGUAACGGGAAAAGGGAUAAACACCACUUCUGCUUUCUUCAUCUUGGAGCAGAGGAUACACAAUUAUUCAAUGUAAGUUACUGUGUUUUGAAUUGUUCUUUGAUUCUACUGUUUUUUUUAUAUAGGAAUUGAGAUAGAAAACCCCAAUUUCAGUAGGAUGAAUUAGAAUCAUGUGUUUGGUAUAUCUCUGUGUCUGCACACCAUUAUUGAAAUAUAUACGAGAUUAAAAUUGACUAAGACAUGUUUGAUUGCUCUUGAAUAGAAUUGAUCACCCGGAUGAAAUUAAGGCAAUAAUACUACACUGACUUAAGCAAAAAAGUGUAUUCUAGAAUAUCUGAUUUAGCCCAUUCAUUUAAAUUUCAAAUUGGACUAAGUUUGAGAUUGGAAUGAGAGUGAUGUCAUUGCUUUGCUGGUUGGUAUGGAAAAUGUGGAAUGAGUUAAGGUGAGAUUGAAAUGUUUGUCUUUAUAUUUAUGGAAAAAUGAAUGGAUGGUUGGGGCUAUUGGUUAGACUAGUUUUCUUUGCUUUUGGUAUUAGUAAUUUACUAUGGUCCUACAUGUGGACUUUUGAGAAUUAUGUGGUAAACAAGGGUUUAGUCUGAAUAGUUAUUAUAUUCUUGGAAUUAUUCAUUAUUCAAUGAAUCAUAUUUGGCCCUUUUUUUUUAAAAUGAUUUUUUAUGGUGUAAUAUAUUUUAAUGUAAAAAUUUUAUAAAUAAAUUUUUUAUAAAAGUUUCAAAUGAAAUUUGGUUUGAAUAGUUAUUUUUAAAAUAUUAUUUUAGGUAUUUUAUGAUUUUAUCGAAAAAAAAUUGAUAUCAAAAUUUUAAAAAAUUAUUUAAUUUUGAAACUAUUUCAAAUAGUUUUUCAUAAAAAUCAUUUUUGAAAUAGAACUUUUUGAGAAAAGUGUGAUUUUGACUAUACUUUGAUUUUCAUCUGGGUUUAUGUCAUAGUAUAUCAAAAUUAGUUUUUUAAUUUAUAAAAAACAAAUUUAGAAAAAAUUGUAAUAUUUUUAAAUAUAUUUUGUAAAAUCCAUUUUCAAAAAUUUUAAAAAAUAUAUUUUUUUAAAGCUAAAACAAACUGGCUUGGUUCGUGGGAAUGCUUAUUGCAUACAAUAGGACAAUAUAGUGAAGACUACCACAUUCAAAAAAAAAAAUUAUAUUCUGGAUUGUUUUGGAGCUUUUGUAGACCUGAUUUUGUUACAAUAAUAUCCUCUGGACUGGAAUUUUAUGGUUCAAGCUUCUUAUAAUAUCAGUGUUAUCAAAUAUCUGCCAUGGCGACACUAUGGCUGAUAUACGCGGCAGCUUUUAGGCUCCACAAUAGUAAAUAUUGGCCGAUAUUGCAUGUUUUUCUGCUGUAAUCGGCACUGUAAAGGGACUGGUAUGGCGGGAUUUUGGCCCUCCACCAUCUUUUACUCAAACAUAUAAUAUAUGUUUGAGGUUUUUUAGGUCAUAGAAAGAGAGGAUUUACUUUAGUAAAGGGACUGGUAUGGCGGGAUUUUGGCCCUCCACCAUCUUUUACUCAAACAUAUAAUAUAUGUUUGAGGUUUUUUAGGUCAUAGAAAGAGAGGAUUUACUUUUCAACUGCAAAUCAUAUCAAAUAUUCAAUCCCUUGAAAAUUGGAAGGUUGUGUCAGGAAUCUGCAACUAACAGAUUAAUUGAACAUAUAUCACAACAAGAACCUAUUUUAUAAAGCAUAUGAAAAUGAAAGUAUUGCAAUAAGGGUGAAAAUUGCAUCAAAGUGCUUCCGUGAGUAUUGUAUUUGAGUUUCUAUUACAGUACUGGAGGUUGAGAGGAAUGUGUGUAGGGACAUAGGAAUAGGAAUAGUUUUAUGGCUUGUUGCAGUGGUUGUAGAUGUGAAAGUUGUGCAUAUAUAUAUUGUUAGGUUUGUUGCAUAAUUCUAGUUGCUUUGGUUGCUACCCUUUAAUUUUGAUCAUGUUUAUUGGAUACGCUAAAGACUUUGGCCAGGAGUUUAGACAUUGUUAAAAUACUAAAUGUGGAUAUCUUUGAUAUUUUUGUAUGUCGGUACAAUGAUAAUUGGAUUUCAUAUAUGAUUUAUAAUAUAAUCAAUCAAACGACCUAAAUGAGUGUAAGAAGAUCCACCCUCUAACAUCGUCUUCCUACUUUUCUGACUCAUCUCUUUCACUUUCUUCUUGAACUCUCCAUUUAUAUCCAACACAUUUCUUAUUCCUCUUUCAAUCUUGUCCGCAGUUAAAAGAUAGUUAGGUUCACCCAUAAACUCCACUUUAUAAUCUAAUGUAAUCUCAACAGCCAUCUUCAACUCAUACACCAAUUGAAAAGCAUUAGUUUGUUGUUCAGCAAAAAGUGGCCAUGUGGCAAUGGGUACACCAAAAUAUAUACUCUCCAGUAUAGAAUUCCAACCACAGUGAGAAACAAAUCCUCCCGUAGCUGGGUGGGAUAAUAUUUGAGUCUGUGGAGCCCACCCUAUUAUCCUUCCAAUCUCCUUCGUUCGAUCUAAAAAUCCUUCGGGUAAAAGCUUAACCAGAUCCGAAAUAGAAUAGUCAGAGGGCAUUGCCAUGACACCCUUCGGUUGAGGUUUCCGCAGAGACCACACAAAGCGGACCCCACUAUUCUCAAUAGCAUGUGCGAUCUCGUUAACCUGAUCCUCAUCAAAAGAACCCCUGGUCCCAAAGCAAAUGAAA
rnacentral:lncRNA from 1 species